CGCCGUACCGGCGCGCACUGACUCUACUGCUCAUCGCCGCCGCCGCUUACUGCAUGGCCGCCUUGUGGAAGCGCUGCGGCCGCAAGCUGCGCCGGCGCCGUCUGCUCGCGCUGGCCACCUAGCAUAAGGCUAAGCCGCACCGAACAAAGGAGCGGCAGAAGUUUGGAGGCAAAACUCGUCACAGCCCUCAGCGCGGGCCUGACCUGACAAUGGAGUCGAUCGACGAGUUCCUCGACUCGAUCCAGGCCCUCGCUGACGUCAACCUCAUGCGGCUUGCCGCUUACGUCGAGGAAAAUCGCAAUUUGUUACACUAGGCUGUACAAGGCAGUACCUACACCAGUGCGCGAGGUAAGGAAGCCGAAACUAGCGGAUUCUUGAUGACCUGACCUGACCGAUACAAACCGGUCUCACAUACAAUGUAGUCUCCGUUUAAUCCGCAGAAAAGACUCAAUAUUUCGUGUGUGUUAUGUGUAUGUCAAUGAUAAAAAUGUGCAAUUUAAGUAGUAGUGUCGUAAUUAGAUCUAGACAUAUCUUUAUGAACACUUGUACGUGCAAAUAAGCCAUCAAUCAGUAGGUUUGUUAGAGGAAUAUUGUACCUUUUAGUGAUUUCUCCUAUCGCGCGUCUUGUCAAAAUUUUAUACAAAAUCUAUUGUCUAUGACAUGAAUUUAAACAAAAAUGUAUCGGCCUAAAGGCUUUUGGACCACUUUCUAAAAUUGAUUUAGUAGACGUAGAUGUAAAAUGGUACAUUAUAAUGGAACUUAAAAUUAAUAAGUGACAAAAUAGGUAAAAAAGUACAUUUUAGAAUAUUUAUAGAUGUGAAAUACAUUCCACUUGUUUUUAAAACAUACUGGCAAUCGCACAAUAUUAUUGCCGCCUUUUCAUCGGCAGCUGCAAUUCGGUUUGGUCUGAAAUGGCCUAAAACAUUUUAUGAAUAUGAUUUGCCUAUAGAUAGUGUUUAUUGAAAACUGCGAUUACGUUCCAAAUACAGCGGCUGUAUUAAAACAAACGAUAAAUUUACGCUUAUUCAAUAAUUUACUUGAUCCGCGCCAGUUGUUUUAAACAAAUUAAAUUGUUGGUGUAUAGCAUAGUGAUAAUUAAGAUAACAAUGUAACCAUCAAUAGACUUUUGAUAUUUAUGUAGGAAGAGAGCCACUGACAGAUAGAUUUAAGCGGAAGAGAAAGAAACAUAAAAGGAAAAUUUUAUCUAUUCCAUUAGAUUUUAAACUACGGGUUUCAUGCAAUAGCAGCUAUAGCUUUGUAAAUUCGCUUUCAAAUAGGUUUUUGACAUCUUUGUUGUGACCGUUUAGAGUUGAUAUUAUCGUAGUGAUGAUAGCAUAAGGUAAUUAGGUCAUGUUUAGAUAAUGCGUUGAGAUGCGUUUUCGCGCGAUCAACGCCUUUCAUCUAUACAUCUUUAUAUAGAUCGCGCUAUGAGUUGUUACGAAAAAAAAAACAAAUCAUAUGAAUUAUUUUUACGGUAAGUUUACGGAAAUUUUGAUAUUUGUGCCAAUCUACUUAAUACUUACUAUUAAUUAAGUUUAUAUUACAUUUGCACCUAGUUUUAGAGCAUUUGUUACUUUUAAAUAUGCUAGAUUUCGAAAAGCUUAUAUUUGACCCCCUUGUAGCGCGAUUUAUAUAAAAUUUUGUGAUUGUUCAUAUCAUGUCGGCAACGUCUUUAUAAGCAUGUAAUAGAAGAAAAAAUAUUUGGAAUGUAACAUCAAUUCCAUUUAUUAAUAACUUGUUGUCCACAUACUUAAAUUUAUAUUCCAAGAAGCUCACCAACAAUAAGUAUAAUAAUAAUUAAUCGAAAUUAUUAUCUUUGGGUUAUAAACAGACAAGUUAAAAACACAAAAGUAAAGUAAAUACAUAACUGCUUCCACUGGGCAAGUCAGCAGCGUUUUACCUCUACCAUUCAUAAUUGCAUAAUUUUGUUCAGGUUUUAAUCAAAUCAAAAACGAGAGAAAUGAUUGAUCUUAAUUUUAGUCCUCUGUACGUGCCAACACGACAAGCUUGAUCCAAACCUUUUCGGCCACGCAAUAUCAACUAGUAAUUUAAUCUUUUUUUACUGACUGAGUUUCUAUUAUACCAUUGUUCUCCAAUUACACUUACGCUGCGGGGUGAUGUGAACAUUCACUAAUAUCGCUAGUUUGGUAGGGAUUUAGUAUCAAGUAAGGAAGAUAUACAAGUAAGGCUCGCUGUACACCGCACCUUGACAAUUUGCCGUGUGGGUUGUAUUACAACAACUGAGGUCAAAAUUCUGGACUCAUCCGCCAAAGGUUCAUUGAUGAUUUUGUUUUAUUUUUAGUUCCUUUUUAUUUUUUAUUAGAAUUUCGUCAUCAUGUACUAAUGAUUUUAUUAUAAUGUGGAGAAUUUAUAGACUAUGGAAGUGUUUUUUUAUUUAUUUUAUUAGUAUCGCUGGCCUCUCGGUGAUCAGCGAGCCUUACAGCGACACAUCACGAUGUGUCACAACCAGUUAGCCACAGCCUAAAUUGCGACGUAGAUGUAAUAAUUCAAAUGCAAUAAUAAUUAUUAAUUAAUAAUCCAUAAGAUAAUCGCCUAGCUCAUUAAUACUAGUUCGUAAAGCGUGUAAAUUAUUAUUAUUGUAGUUAGCAGCUUCUCAAUGCUUUUAGUAGUUUAUGUGGGGAGGUUGUGACGAAAAUUGUUUUUUUUUUUUUAGUUUUUAUCAAAAACAUUAAUGCAUUAAAAAAGUUUUGCCUAAUCUGUCAAAAUGGUAUUUAGCAGCCCUAUUCCUGGUAAUUCUCACAUUUUUUUAUUUUUAGAAAGAAAAUGGGCACACGUUCCUAAUUUUUUUGAUUUAAAAUUCAAAUUCAAGUUAUGCACCGAUAUUGCAUUAUUAAAGCACCCGUAAAAAUAUGUCGAUUAUUUAGAUUUUCACUUGUAACCCCUCACAUGUAAGCUUCGCUAUACUUAAAUAUGUCUAUUUAUAAGUAAGUAAUUAUAAGAUUGUAAUGGGUAUCUAUGCUCAUUACGCAGCAGAGCGUCACAAGCCAUUUUUAUCGAAGUUUCUUCAUAAAAUUAUAAUUUAUUCAAUGUUUAUUAAUUAUCAUUCGAUGUGAAGUCUGAAUUGGGUUAUAAUAAAGACAAAUUCUAUCAAAAAUUCCAAAAAAUCUUGUAAUAUCAUUUAUUUGGUAUGCCUUUCGAGUAAACUUUGACACAAAUUCCUUAAAAUUUUAGUUAUGUGAUAAAUAGAUAUUUUUUUGGCCUUUUCUGAAAGUUGUAUUUGUUCCUUGUUGAAGCUGAUUAGAACCGGUCACUCUUUGAAUCGUGAUGUCAUGAAAAGGUAAUAAUAAUCAGCCUUAACUGCUUUUCUUAUGUUAUGGCUUGUACAUACGCCUGCACGGAAAAGCAUGGCACAGAGCCACAUCGCAGCAGUGCUUUAUGAUAAGAAACAUAAUAUUCAAUAUCUUAAGAACACAUCACAACCACAACAUCAGUAGGUAUCGUAACUAACCUAAUGUGAACAUCAUGUAAUUUAGAGACUUGUUUCCCUACAAAAUCUAUGGGAGAGUUUAGUUUUGACAGCUUCAAAAGGACAUCAAUGAUUGGCUGUGUCGAAUGCCCUAUUUCUUCAAAACACUUUACAACGAACGUAAUUUGAACAUCAGUCUCUGUAACCAGUAACAGGAGACUAAGGGAGAAAAUAUGCAAAUAUCAGGCCUCUCCAAUAAAUUGAACGCUAAAUGUUUCUUUGACAUAAGUCACUCGCAGCGGGUGUGGCCCUGAGGGUCGGCUGACGGUCGGCUACGAGGUACCAUGAUUCCAGAAGUAGUUUGCGAGAUCGCACACGGCAUGCUAAUUUAUAUCUUUCUAGGUUAGAUGAAUGCGCAUGAAAAUUACUGGCAUUAUGACUUAGUAUCUGUAAAUAACACAUCAUAAUACUAAGAGUUUCGUACCCAUUUAUUUAACCUUCCAAAGGUAUAGAGGACGCCCUGUUACAGGUCACCUAGUGCCUUUACUUAAUAUAAUAUCACGUAGUGCCGAAUUAUUAUUUUUUGAUUGGACUUGGAUAUUUUUUAAAUUGAUAAAGUCAAAAAUUCACAUCAAAGCUAUCAAAAUUAAAUAUUGUGAUGACCUUCUUUCUACCUUUUGCGUUUUGUGGAUUUUAAAAUUCGAAAUCUGUUUAAAUGUAAUCAGAUUAUAAAAUUAAAAACCUUAAAGUUAAUGAUGUUGGUGAUUUUCAAUAUUCAGUUAUUAUUCCAGUUCAAUCAUAACUUCUAGUAACUUGUUUUUUGUAGUCGGACAAGCAUGGCGCCGAUGCCACCCCCGCGGUGGACUUAUCUUAUGUAAAACAAAACAUUUUUAAAGUUUCGAGUAAAGGUUUUGGUUUGGGCAUGUUCAUUUAACUUACAAUAUUGUAUUGUAUUCGUUUUAAGCGCCACUGUACAUUAGGUCGCCACCACAAGUUGUAGUCCGCCACGUCUCGACCACUUGGACGCGCAGAGUUCAGCAAUACAUUAUUACGUGAACAACUUGAUCCAGUGAGCUUACAUUGAGUUCACAAUAAACGCACUCGCUAGUAAUAAUAUGUGACAGAUUGCACAGCGCCCCUAGCGGUUGCUUUCAAGAACUAAAAUAUGCCACAGAUUUAUUGCAUUCGCUAACGUAAACGUAAUUUAAUGUAAGCUCAUGGUAUUUAAUGUAAGCUCAUGGUAAAGCUAACUACUGCUUGUGGUGGCCACCUUGACAAAUGUCGGUGGCAUUAUAGUGAUGAAAGUUAUAAGUUAUCCAGCGGCGGGUGACACCUUGAGGGUCGGUGGCAACCGAUCACGAGGUUCCAUGCAUGCGGAGAACCGCGCGGCAUGCUACUUUAUAGAGUUUUUAAGGUUAGAUGAAUGCACAUGAAAUUACUGGUAAUGAGCCGUACGCAUAUUUUAUGCGCACUUGAUAUUAAAAAGUAUUCAUAUAAAACGAUGCCAAGUGUUUUUCGAAGUGAUUCGUUUAACUGUUAAAACUUAUAGAGGACGCCCUCUUAAGAGGUCACCGAGUGCCUGAAGAAUCGAAGAAAUCAGAAAUGCAGCAUUGUUUUGCUUCUUCCAUAAAUUGUAUUUGCUAUCUAGUUUGUUUGAUAACGUGUAAAUCAAAAUUGACAAGUUUUGGAAAGUCAUUUUAAGUUCCUGCUUUGAUUUUACGUAUUUAUUUACUUAAUAAUCCAAAAUGUGUAACCUAUAAAGGCCAUUGUACCUUAUUUUCGGAAUUAUCUAAAAAAUUAAAUUAGUAUUGGUUGCAUCGUAAUCAAUAUUUUUAAAUUUUUUCAUAUUCAUUUAUGAGGUAUCAUCACGUUAUCGUUUUCGUUGUUCUCGCUGCAUUUAAAUGUAAAUAAAAAUUACAGGAUAAUCACAAGCCACACUCACUACUAAGUUGGACGUACCUAGGUUCUUAACAGUGAUUUUCAUUAGAAAGUACCUUGUAAUUCGUCAAAACCGGUUUGUCCUAUUAAAAAAUAAAAAUAAAGUAUCCCCCUUAAGUUUUUCAUGUCAUGCUAGACAAGUACUCCUUUGGAUCAUCACGCGAGUGAGGGCUGCAUCAUAUGGCACAAUACUUUGGGCCUAGACAUUUCUCGUGGAUGAUUUAUAUACCACACCAUGCCACACGACGCGUGUCCAUUUCAAAAUACUUCUCAAAAACUUAGCCCACGGUGUGGCCUGCGAUUGUCGAUUAGGAUAAUUCCUUGUGCAUGCAUGUCUUACGCUUCAUUCUAGAAUAAUAUUUCAUCCACAGAAAUAAUUUACAUAUUUUUAAUUAGAUUUUGUGUGUCACGGUAGAAUGAUGCCGGGUGAGGGAUCUAUCUGUCCAUUAAGGUGGCCUCUUCAUAGUUUAUAGCUUAGUUUUAAGAACGUCGUACGUAAAUUAAUCAAGUAAUCUUUAUGUCUAUACGCAUUUGUAGCGUUUCAUGUUAUCGUAAUAUAGUACUCGUGAGUGUAUUUUGUUAUUUACUACAUACACCCCCAAAUUUCAUAACUUAUUUACAAUUAUAAAUUGUUUACGUACAUUUUGAGCCAUGAUCAAGACUGGCACGGCCCAUAUUUUUGUAUGAAUGGGCCAAGUAAUUACAAUGUGAAACAGUAAAGUAAUUAGUUCAAAUUAAGUUUUUAAAGAUAACGGCUUUAAGGGUAAAUUGGAUAAAAAUGCGGAUUUUAAGAUGGUGCUCAUAUGAUGGACUUCACGAAAUUAGGGAUUAUAAAUCUCGCAAAAUUAGUUGAGGGUAGUUGGGAAAGUAUUUAUGUAUGUAUUUAAUAUACUCUCGACUUGAUUUUUAAAUAUUUUGAUUCGACCCUUUAAAAGUAUGUACUAAAUUAGGGGAAAAAAUUACAUACGUAGAUACCGAAUUAUUUUGACGUCCAAUCUAUAAGGUACUAACUAUGCAAAUUUUUAGGUACUACACGUGAAAAUAUGUAGUUUGAAUAUUUUUUCGUUUUUCCAACAUAUUUAAUUGGCGCUUCGCUCCUAUUGGUCGUAGCGUGAUGUUAAAUAUCAUAUUAUUAACCUUCCUCGAUAAUAGAUUUAUCCAAUACAAAAAUAAUUCUUCGAUUUGGACCAGUAGUUCCCGAAAUGCAUGUAAUCUACUUAAAAACUUUAGUAUAGAUUUACCUAUUAAUAUGAGUAAUGAAGGACUGAACGGUUUUGGGAAGGGCUUAAAUGUAACACCAUUAGGUAUUAUUGUUUAUUUAAUUUCGUAUAUAAAUAAAUACGUAUUCUGGGAUUAAGCUCAAACUGUAGCACUUUGUUAACUUUGCAUUAACUAAUUUUACAACUCCCAAUUUUGUAGAUCAACUGUCGAUGUCGAUCAGAUUUUUGUAAUUUAAAUGACUCGAUGAAAUGAAUCUGAAAACUGAACCAAAAAAGUACGCAAUGCGUAUAAUGUAAUAUGACGAUGAUAGUAGGUGAGCACCUACAAAUUAAAGUUUUGUAUGUGAACGUUCUUUGUAUGGUAGUAUGUAGUAAUUUAUUCCCUAAAUUAUAUGCAUAAUAUGAUAAUCACUAUAAUCGUAGAUUUGUAAGAUGUACUUUUAAUUGAAUAAUUUUAUCCUCCGCUGCGGCAUUAAACGGUAAUAAUUAUAAAAAUUAUAUAAGUACCUAGUAUUAUUUGAAUCAAUCCGUAGCGUCAAGCGUGAACUUUCAUCCACCCCUAACGUAAACAAACACUGGAUGUUUCCAUUUCCCGAUAACUUUCCAAUAACACACUAAGGUCGUGUUAGAAUGUUUGCGCACUACUGAAACUAUCAUGAUAUUAUUAUUAUAUUUAUAGCGAGUGUACAGAAUAAUUUUGUAAAAACAAAAAUACUGUCACUGCAUAUUGUUAAAAUUAAAUUAUUAUUAAAAUUACUUCGUACAUACUUGUGACACUUUCUUAUAAAAUGUUUCCUACCAAAAGUUAUUGUACAGCAAGACGAUAAAUCGUGAAACCAAAACUAACCCCAUUGGAUUUGGCAUAGACUAGCCUGAUUGACGCUUGACACUACUGAUAAAAAUAUUUACAUAAUAAUUGUGUUAUUUAUUAAUUGGACAGAGUUCAGCACUCUGUAUAACUGUAUCUACGUGUAGGUAUCACAUCUUAUUUAUAAUAACAAUUAGUAGGAAAUAAGAUAAUUUAAAAUAAGUAUGCAUUAAGAGCCAAUAUGUUUUCCGUUGCGUAUUAAUUUGGUUCUGCGAUAUAGUUAUUUCAUGUUGGAAACAAACACUUAAAAAAAAAAUGAUUAUUAAAUAAUGCGAAGCCUAGCUAUUAAUUAUGCUUCUUAUUUAUUCUUUGGUAUGCUUUAUUUUCCUUUUCCGAAAAUCUUUUUAUGGCGAUAUUUAAGUGAUGGCUAAAGUUUGCACGAUUAUUGAAAAAUACUUAUGUAUUUACAGUGCCAUUUCUUGGAAAGGACAGAGUCCAUAGAGUCGAGGCACUUUAUGUUACUUUAAACAAAGUAAGGCUCAAAUAUAGGUUAAGAUAUAAUGGUAAAUCCAGUUCAUGCUAUGAUUUUUACUUUAUAAUUUAUUAUUUUUUGUAUGAGCGUCACUCGUUUCUAAAUUUAAACUCGUACAUACACAAACACACAAGUGCAUUGCUCCAUGUUUUCGGAAUAAGUUAACUAAGCACAAGAUAAAGUUACGACACACAUGGCAAGCAGUGACGGUAACAUAUUUCAUUAUAACUCAACAAAUUGUGAAACACAUUACAUUUUUAAUUACGUAUUAUGAUUUAUUGUACAAUAAAAACUUCUGACCCCUUUUCAAACUAAAAUCAGUCUUUUAUGGGUCAUAAUUUUUUAUUUUGCGAUUACCGCAAAGUUAGGUUCUCUUCCUUAUUUAUAUUUGGUUAAGAAAGUUAUUGAGUUAAGUUGUUAAUUAACUGUAACCAGUAGCAUACGAUACCUAAAGAUUGUUUACUCGUAAUGCCAAAGAAAAAGUUAAUGGUAUGAUUGAAAUAUUGAUGUGAGAAUUUAUGUUAACGUGUAAAUUAGUUUCGUUAUUGUAUUCGAUCACCAGACUGUAUCUUGAACUCGUGAUUCUUGACUGUUAUUGUGUUAAUACCUAGCAACUUACAUUUUUAUGAUUUUGUAUUAAAAGAUUUUGAUAAAAUAAAUCAUGUACGGAUCGUAAA